rnacentral:lncRNA from 1 species
CAUCAUGGACCUGACUCCUCAAGUACCCCAAUUUCUCCUCCUUCCUCCAGUGUCCAUCCCCACACAGGUCAGUCCUGGCAAACACACAACUUGGGCCCGAUCUGCCAGGUGCCUCCCCAUUUUUCUUUCUUCCACUGCCGACUGGUGUGGGUGGUUUAUGCCUGGGCAUCCCCCUUGCUCUCCUGAUAGUUUGUUUCCCUCCUGACCUCUGCAACCCAACUAGUGUCCUUCAGCCAGCCUUUUGCAUCUCUACAUGGAUGUCUUGGAGUUACACGAAAUCCGGGCACUCCCCCGGCAUCCUUUGCUGAGGCCACUUUAUCCAUUAACUUGCCAUCUCAUCUCAGUUACUUUGGGGCCUUCUUCGCCUCUCUCUUUCCUUACAUCUGUUCUGUUGCCAGACUCUGUUGCCUUUUGGGGAAAUAUCUCUUGGGCAGCUCUCUUCCUCGUUCCCACCAGCAAUUCCUCGGUCCAUGCCUUCAUCACGUCAGGUCAGGAUGGCUCCGGUGGCUCCUGACUGCUCUCCCUCCCUCCCAGUCUCUUUUCUGAUCUGCUCUCUCUAGCUCCAUUUUCAAACACUGAGAGUGCGAGUCAUAUCAGGCCCUUGGAGUUGCCUUCUCCAUCCUUUCCAACCUCUUCUCCCCACAUUGUGCUGAACACAGCGGGUCUUCAUAGGACUCAGCACCUGUACAACAUGCUUUAUUUCGCUUAGCCUGUUCUCCUUUGUUUGGUAAACUCCUAAGCAUUCUUCAAGAAAUAAUUCUUUGUCUUUUGUCUUUUUUUUUUUUUUGCUUUUUAAGACUGCACCUGGGCACAUGGAAGUUCCCAGGCUAGGGGUCCAAUCAGAGCUACAGCUGCCAGCCUCCACCACAGCCACAGCAACACAGGAUCUGAGCCACUCACACACAGCAACCUACACCACAGCUCACAGCAAUGCCAGAUCCUUAACCCGCUGAGGCCAGGGAUCGAACCUGCAUCCUCAUGGAUACUAGUCAGGUUCAUUAACCACUGAGCCACGACAGGAACUCCUGUGUGUACCAUGUUAAUAAAAUGUUGUAAGUAGCUCCUCCUACUCUUGUAAGAAAAUUCCAGAUGAUGCAGAGUAGGACACACAUUGUUCAACUGGCUUGAAGAGUAAAACCCAGAGAAUGUAAAAGCUCAUCCCACAAAUAUUUUUUUUCAAACAUAUUUGGUUCUGUGUAACAGUUUGGUAAAGAGAAGACACAGAAAAGCAAAGCAGAAAAAAAGGAGGAUGAGGUGACUGAGAAAAGGCAGUGGAAGCAAGUCUUGAUGGAGACACAGAGAAGUGGAUGGGCCAGGAGGCCCUCAGCAGCGUGAAGUGAGACGAGAGGAAAAGUGGAGCUUGUGAUGCCCAGAAACGGCCCACGGAGGAGACUCCUGAGAGCAGAAAGCAACACGAAGGCCAGGAGAAAGGGGAGUCCAGUGGGGUACAGGGGGAGAUGGCGCCCCAGCCUCGCCGGCCGAGGCAGAGAGGGCAGCCAGUGCAGGGAGCAGUGUGGGUGUGGGGAGUCGGCGUGGAGGUGAGUUCAGGACUUGCCCCCAGUUGCUCACCUGGGCUGUGUGAGGGGUGUGAGUUAAUCACCACUUUUUGAAAGACAGGGGAGCUUACAGUCCCACAAGGACGCCUUCCCAGGGACCCGGAUCCGGACCUUACACUUGGCAAGUCCUCACUAAAUUCGUUUUGACUUAUGGAUUGAAUGAAAUGAUGCCUCCACACCCAGGACCCCCUGCCCACGGCGAGAACGUGUGCACCUUCCUGAGGGCCUCGGCCACUCUGCCUGGUGUCCUGGCAUCCCAGGAAUUUCCCUGCCUGCUCUGGGGAGGAUUUUCCACGCUAGAAGCUUUUGCAAAAUCAGACCGCUUUAUCAGAAUCCCGUUGCGCUGGAGAAUGUUCCUGGCUGCUUGACGUUUACAGUGUGUGACCGAUUUUAUCACAGGAAUGUUGUUUGGAAAGAAACGGUCCUCGCAGAUGGGCAGACAAGAGAUGGAAGGUCAUUCGAGGACCCACCCAAGCUGUCGAAGUUGGAGCUCAGGGUUGCUGUACAUGAUGCUUGGGAGCCUGGCCAAGCCGUGAGCAAGCCUUCCUCCCUGGAGGAGGUCCCAGCACGGCUGUGGCGGGCUUGCCUUGCCGUGUUUACAUUUUCACCUUGGCCUCCAAAGCAAACGCCUCUGGAGCCCUGCACCAGUGGGGCCAAGCAGCAGCAAGGACUCCCCAGGCUUGGGGUCCAGCAGGCAGCCCAGCUUGGCCUGGACAGAACAAAUCUGUCCCUGACAUACUGGAAAGGGACAGAAAGGGCCUCUCCCAGGAGGUCAAAAAAUCGGGAGCCAGGUUUACUCCUUUAAUCCUUUGUCAAAAUCCCAAGACUCUGCUCACUGGAACUCUGAACAAAACAGUGGGGAUAUAGCAAGCGGUCCCUCUCCUGGUACAGCCCUGGUGCUGUCAACGCUGGCACGGCAGCUUCUGUCUGCAGGGGUUUGGAUGUGUCGUGGGCAGAGUAGGAUGCAGAGACUGAGACUGAGAUGGAAAGGAGAGGUCAGGAGAGGGCAGAAGUCUUUGUUCCUGGUGGGAGGGACUCCACCCUGACAUGGGAGAGGCUGGCGUGGCACAGUUCGGCCCGAGGUUGCUGGAUGCUGGUCAACAGAGAGGAGCCAGCUGGAAAGAGCCAGUGCUGCUGGACACUGUCUGCUAAUCUCUGAGGGCCCUGAACAGGGGCAGGGGGUGCCAGCACGUGGGUCUCAUUCUCUACAGCUCUUUUUCAGCUUUUUCAUUCUAGUGGGUGGAAGCCUGUCCCCAGAGAGAUUUAUUCAAACCCUAACCCCUGGUACCUGUGGCUUUAUUUGAAAAGAUCUUUGCAGAUGUAAGCAAGUAAAAUGAGAUCAGACCGAAUUAGGCUGGGCUCUGAACCCCAGGACUGGUGUCCUUAUAAGAAGUCCAGGUGACAACACACAGCACAGGAAGGAAGAAGGCCAGGUGGUGAUAGAGGCAAGGACCAGAGUGAUGCAUCCACAAGCCAAGGGACACCAAGGCUUGCCAGCCGCCACCAGAAAUUGGGAAGAGGCGAGGGAGAACCGUCUCCUAGAACCUUCAGAGGGAACACAGACCAGCCGAUACCCUGAUUUUGGACUUUCAGCCUCCGGAUCUAUGAGAAGAUAAUCUUCUGUGUUUUAAGCUACCCAGUUUAUCAGUGUUUUGUUUACAGUAGGCCCAGGAGAUGAGUAUAUUCGUGUUUCUCAAAAUUUCAUCUCCUGAGGCCCUUCCCCUUCGGUCCCUCCACUCUUAGCAAAGAGCCUUGGAUUCAUUAUU